rnacentral:misc_RNA from 1 species
AAACCUUCGGUUUGACGAUUUAUUGUCUCGCCGGCGUUGGCGGUUUUGGGAAACGUGGGGCAACCCGCGCCAUUCCGUUUAAACACUGACAGCGGGGUCAAGUUCCUACCCUCAUCGAUUAGUAGAAAUAUUCAUCGUUUUAAGGAUUUGAACUUCCCGCAAUACAAAAUUAGGGGUAAAACCCAUCAU